rnacentral:rRNA from 1 species
CGAAAGCCUGACGGAGCAAUACCGCGUGAGGGAUGAAGGAUUUUGGUCUGUAAACCUCUUUUCUCAAGAAAGAAGUUCUGACGGUACUUGAGGAAUAAGCAUCGGCUAACUCCGUGCCAGCAGCCGCGGUAAUACGGGGGAUGCAAGCGUUAUCCGGAAUCAUUGGGCGUAAAGCGCCUGUAGGUUGUUUAAUAAGUCUGUUGUUAAAGACUAGGGCUUAACCCUAGAAAAGCAAUGGAAACUACUAGACUAGAGUAUGGCAGGGGUAGAGGGAAUUUCUAGUGUAGCGGUGAAAUGCGUAGAUAUUAGAAAGAACACCGGUGGCGAAAGCGCUCUACUGGACCAUUACUGACACUCAGAGGCGAAAGCUAGGGUAGCAAAAGGGAUUAGAUACCCCUGUAGUCCUAGCCGUAAACGAUGGAUACUACAUGUUGUGUUUAUUUCACAGUAUGGUAGCUAACGCGUUAAGUAUCCCGCCUGGGGAGUACGCUCGCAAGGGUGAAACUCAAAGGAAUUGACGGGGGCCCGCACAAGCGGUGGAGCAUGUGGUUUAAUUCGAUGCAACGCGAAGAACCUUACCAGGGCUUGACAUACUGCGAAUCUUUCCGAAAGGAAAGAGUGCCUUCGGGAAUGCAGAUACAGGUGGUGCAUGGCUGUCGUCAGCUCGUGUCGUGAGAUGUUGGGUUAAGUCCCGCAACGAGCGCAACCCUUGUUUUUAGUUACCAAUUCGUUGGGUUUUCUAGAAAGACUGCCGGUGACAAACCGGAGGAAGGUGAGGAUGACGUCAAGUCAGCAUGCCCCUUAUGUCCUGGGCUACACACGUGCUACAAUGGUUAGGACAAAGAGUUGCGAGCUUGUGAAAGUCAGCUAAUCUCAUAAACCUAGCCCAAGUUCAGAUUGUAG